rnacentral:rRNA from 1 species
AGGUUGGCUUAGAAGCAGCCAUCCUUUAAAGAAAGCGUAAUAGCUCACUAGUCGAGUCGGCCUGCGCGGAAGAUGUAACGGGGCUCAAACCACACACCGAAGCUGCGGGUGUCACGUAAGUGACGCGGUAGAGGAGCGUUCUGUAAGCCUGUGAAGGUGAGUUGAGAAGCUUGCUGGAGGUAUCAGAAGUGCGAAUGCUGACAUGAGUAACGACAAUGGGUGUGAAAAACACCCACGCCGAAAGACCAAGGGUUCCUGCGCAACGUUAAUCGACGCAGGGUUAGUCGGUUCCUAAGGCGAGGCUGAAAAGCGUAGUCGAUGGGAAACAGGUUAAUAUUCCUGUACUUCUGGUUACUGCGAUGGAGGGACGGAGAAGGCUAGGCCAGCUUGGCGUUGGUUGUCCAAGUUUAAGGUGGUAGGCUG